rnacentral:lncRNA from 1 species
GAGAGGGGGUAACCAUUUACAGCCUAAGAUGGAGCAGGAUGGAGAUUUGAGGAUUGCCUUGUCAACAUUUAUCAUCGUUUCAGAUAAACUUUUCCAGCAAGACUUGCCUUGUCAACAAUACUUACUUAGCAAGAAUCGACAGGUUGCUAAACCCGACCCAAAACUCCUAUCAGAUAUCGAAAUGGAGUAAUGAAAACCUAGACUUUCUGGCGAUAAUCCUCUAUGCUUUCUUGUAACAAUAACGUCCACACCCUCGAAAGGCCUCUACGGACGGUCGAGUCGAGCUGGUAAAUGAAAGAGUUGAAUGCAGAGACCAGUGUACAAGAUAAUAAAAAAAACAACGCAUCUGAUGAAUUAUAUACAAAAAAUAGCAAUGUGUUGAGAUCUUACAACAAUUGCCUUUUGCUUUCUCAGCUCCUACAAGUACAACAAUCUCUUCCAUAAACAACAAUUAAAGCAAACUCUAACUGCAAAUAGCUGAAUGCAACUGAGAUUAUUGCAUUUAGAGAAGAGAAAAAGAACACUUAGAAUUCUACCACAACAAACAGCAACUGCCCUGAAAAUUAAU